AGGCAGGAACCCCGGCCAUCCCCAUUGAUUUUAAAAUGAGACCAGAGAUUUUGUCUGCCCCUCGCUAUCCCUCCGCCCCCUCCGCUCCUGCCUCUCUUUCUUGGAUAGGGAUAAGGGACUAGUGACUUUGAGUCUCGAGCUGUCGGUCGUCUGGCAGAUUUGCUGUAACUGUACAGUAGUUGCUAGCUAGCAAGCUAGCCAACAACAUACCAACAAAGACGUUUCGAUAUUUUCAAGAUGUGAGAUAAGCAAUUAUCUCAGUACCGUCGUCGUAAUGUAAGAAAAAGAGAGUGACGACUUUCCAGAUAGCUCGCCAGCCAAAUGGGCAAAUGAACAUCAACUUAACAUUACAUUUAUUUUCGCAAUCGGGUGAGAUUGGAUUUUAAAACGGAGUCCUUCCGACAUCAAGUGUAUCCCCCGAACCUGGAUAUUGGAAUGGUGGCUCGGAGCACCGAUAAUCUGGAGAGUUCCGGGGAGCCAGCGACCCGCUCAGUGGGCACCACUGCCAACCUGAAGGGGAAGAUGAACAAGAGGCUGUCUAUCGUGAAAGGCCACUUCCCCAAGCUGGUAGAUUGUGCCCAUUUCCACUAUGAGAAUGUUGAAUUUGGCUCCAUCGAGCUGCAGUUUGCGAGUGAGCAGAGUGAUGCUAAUUGGAGCUCGGGCUCUGCCAAAGACAUGGUCUUCCUGGUACAGGUGUCCUGCCAGGGGAAGACAUGGAUGGUGCGUCGCUCCUAUGAGGAGUUUCGCACUCUGGACGCUCACCUGCACCAGUGUAUCUACGACCGCCGCUACUCCCAGCUGCUGCCCCUCCCCGCCAUCCACGAGAUCGGAGACAGGCUGGAGAUCUUCACGCCCCUGCUGUCGGAGUACCUGAGUCGCCUCUCCAUGAUUGUGGACAACAAGCUUAACUGUGGACCUGUCCUCACCUGGAUGGAGAUCGACAACCGUGGCAACCGCUUCCUGCUGAAGGAGGAAGCCUCGCUCAACGUCCCGGCCAUCGCCGCUGCUCACGUCACCAAGCGCUACACCGCGCAGGCCAGCGACGAGAUCUCCAUCGAGGUGGGAGAUAUCCUAUCAGUGAUUGACAUGCCACCUAAAGAGGACACCAGCUGGUGGAGAGGCAAGCAUGGUUUCCAGGUGGGCUUCUUUCCAAGUGAAUGUGUCGAGCUUAUUAAUGAAAAGCUGCCUCAAUCCGUCAACGCUUCAGCCGCCAAGACAGACGCUGAUCCAGUCAGCUCCAAACCUGCAGCGAGCAGCUCUCCUGGACCCCCGUCUCCCACAUCAGUGUCUAAGAAGCACGGCAAGCUGAUCGGCUUCCUGAGGACCUUCAUGAAGUCGCGUCCCUCCAAGCAGAAGCUGAAGCAGAGAGGGAUCCUGAAGGAGAGGGUUUUUGGCUGUGACCUGGGGGAACACCUCCUCAACUCUGGACUGGAUGUCCCCCAGGUGCUGAAGAGCUGCUCAGAGUUCAUUGAGCAGCAUGGGGUCGUAGAUGGCAUCUACAGACACUCUGGAGUCUCCUCCAACAUCCAAAAACUCAGGCAUGAGUUUGACAGUGAGAACGUGCCAGACCUGACCAAGGACAUGUACAUGCAGGACAUCCACUGUGUGGGCUCACUGUGCAAGCUGUACUUCAGAGAGCUGCCCAACCCCUUGCUCACAUACCAACUCUACGACAAGUUUGCCGACUGCAUGGGUGAGAUGACGGACGACGAGCGCAUGGUGAAGGUCCAUGAUGUCAUCCAGCAACUGCCUCCACCCCACUACAGGACCCUGGAAUAUCUGUUCAAACACCUGGCUCACCUGGCCACCUGUAGCGGAGAGACCAACAUGCACAUCAAGAACCUGGCCAUCGUCUGGGCUCCCAACCUGCUAAGGUCCAUGGAGAUCGAGGCGGUGGGCCUGAGUGGGGCCGACCCGUUCAAGGAGGUGAGGAUCCAGUCGGUGGUGGUGGAGUUCCUCCUGAGCAACGUCAACGUGCUCUUCAGCGACUCCUUCACCUCCGUGGGGCGCUUCAGCGUAGGCCGCCAGUCUCUAAGCAGACCCAAGUCAUUUGUGUCGACACGGCUCUUGUCCCUGGAGGAAGCCCAGGCCAGGACCCAGGCUCCCCUGCUGCUACAGGGGACACCCCUCUCCCUGCAAGGACAGUACCACACCGUCCUGGACCUCCCCGUUGACAGAAGGAAGAGGGGGAUCAAGGCGAGGAAGGCAGCCGGGGGAAGCUGGAAGACUUUCUUCGCCAUCGGGAAGCCCAUGGGGGCGGGGCGUCGUAAACCCAUGAGGAUCAGCUCUCUGUUCCAGCCAACCACCUCGCACGCUGGUUGCCGUGUAGACAGUGUUACUCUGAGGUCAGCCAAGAGCGAGGAGUCUCUGUCGUCCCAGCACAGCGGAGCAGGUCAGUCGAAGGCGCAGCGCCUGCGCAGGCCUCGCUCUAGCAGCGACGGCCUCUCAUUGGCCGCCGCCAUGGACCCCCAGCUCCUCCCCCAGAGGCCUCUGUCCCGCCUGCCGUCCAGCCGCUCGUACGACAGCCUCCUGCCCGGCGACCGGCCUCACCCCGGACAGGAGGGCGACGACGAGGACGAAGAGGAUGAUGAGGAUGAAGAGGGCGUGUACAUGCUGCCGGACCUCUCUCGGACAGACCCCGCCCCUUCCUGGCACGACGAGGACGUCAUCGACUUUAGCCCCACCUUCCUGGAGGACGGACCAAUCGGUGUGGCCAGCAACAGGGAUUCUCCGCCCACAGCCAGCCCCCCACCCUAUCGUUGCCUUAGCCACCAUGGCCACGCCUCUUCCAGCGGCCAGCGCUCAGUCACGGAGGAUCCUGACUCUGUCCUUACCCAAUCGGAGGCGACUGCCAGAAGGAGUCUGAUCCUCGCAGCGACAGCCCCGCCCCUGCAAGUGUUCUGUCAGCACCGGCCAUCCAAUAGCAGCCCAGCUGCAACCCAGUCAGUAGAGACAACCAACCAGAGCCCGUCUCAAGGUCAGGCGCAGCCGAACUCCGCCCCCGCUGCUCAGCCGCCCCCAGAGAGGCGUUCCUUCACCAGGAAAGUGGUCAACGCCCUUUCAACCAAGGCUCCCAAGUCUCCGCCCCUUGACAUCUCUGACCCUAUUGCAAUUAGCGUACCAGCCAAGGUGUUGGAGAUGAUUGGCGGGCGAGCCGGUGAACUGCCCACCAGCGCUCCCCCCAGCGGCCCCCCCCAGCCCCCUCAAAUGAUCUCCAUGCUGCUGAGGUCAUGUGACUUCCAGCUGAGCGAGAGCUGCCAGCAGGAGAUCCGCAGCAAGCUCGCCCCCCCCCCUGAUGCCAGGGUCAGAGUUAUCCCUGGUCCCACAGGCGCUCCUCUGCCCUCUCAGCAGCCGCCCCCUCCCCCUCCCAAGAACCCCGCCCGCCUCAUGGCGCUGGCUCUGGCAGAGAGCGCCAACAAGGCCCUGCGCCAGGGGGCCACGCCCCCUUACCGGCCCCCCCAACCCCGCCCCCAGGAGCCCCCUGACCCCCGCUACCAGCGCUCCCUCUCCGCGGACGCCGGCGAGCUGCUGGCCUCAGACCCUAACCAGCUGUACUCUACAGUGCGUCCCCUGUCUGUGUGGAUAAACCAGGGCUCCGCCGAGACCACCGAGACUGGACACGCACAGGAAGACAGGACCCCUGGACAGGACACUGGGACGCUCUCAUCUGAGACCUCGGUGUCUGACUCUGUGGCCUCUGAGCUGUCUGCUGGGAGCUCCUCAGGAGAAGACCACACCCCCAGCCCUGUCUACACCAAUCAAAGCCAGGCGUCCAGACCCAGCCCCGCCCAGGCCCACAGGAAACCCCCUGCCUACUCGCGACAGUUCUCUGCCCCCCACCUCCAGCAAAAGUCCACCUCUACAUCCACCUCGUCCCAGCCACCGUCAGCCCAGCCCCCGCCCCAACUCCAGCUCAUCCACUCCAAGUCGGAGAGCUCGCCCCUCUCCCAGGUGAAGUCCUUCCAGCCCACCAGGCCCAAAGUGCCCCCCAAGCCCCUGGACCUGGCUGUGCAGCGAGACCAGCCUCCCCAGCGCCCCCUGCUGGCCAAGUCAGACCUGCGGCGCUCUCUGGACUCGGGCAGGGUCAGACGGAUGUUUAGUCAGCCGCAGGGCAACCCUCCCCUGGCUCGAGCCUUCUCUGAACGCCACUCUGGACCUCCAGACAUGCUGGCCCGGUACUACGCUGCCAGGACAGCCGGUCAGCCAGCCCCUGGACCCCAGCCCCCCACCCCCCCGCAGCAGGCCCACAUCCGGCCUGUACCUCCUUCCUCCUCAGACGACCCAGGAAAGGGCGAGAACUUUUACUACGAGAUCGCAGGGCCCGAACCGCCGCAGGGCCCACCCAGCUACGCACGCCACUCCUACCAGAACAUGAGGCUUGACUUGGAGGGCAACUUCCGCCCCGCGUCCCAGCACGCUUACCCAGACCCCAGCUCCAGGCCUCUCUCCCAGGGGCACCAGAAACCCCAGCCCCCUUACCCUGGAGCUCAGAGACUCCCCCAGCUCUGGUCCUCGGAGGCAACACGGGCCUGGGCCGCCGCCCACUCUCACAGCCACUCCCAGUCCUUCUCCCAUGGCCACACCCAUCAGCGCUCCCACGACGGCCCCCGGCCGCGCCCCCAGCGCCAGUCCUCCUCCUCCUCUGUGCGCCUGGCUCGUAGUGAGGUGCACCCCCUCCCCUCCUCCUCCAUCGUGCCGCUGUCUGUUCACCAGCGGAGCCCGCAGCUCCGCCAGCCCGACGUCACCGCCUCGCAGCUACACCCCUACUUUGAAAACGGGAGGGUGUGCUACCGCCCCCAGUCAGAGGAGCCCCCCCUCACCGCCCAGCACCCCCAGACUGACAGGCAGGCUGGUAAGGAGCUGACGGAACCUGUUUAUGUCAACUACCCCUACACCUCCCCCGCUCCUCACACUCUCACCCCCCACCCUGACCCUCUCCCCCCUCCCUCCGACCCCGGCACCAGGGGCUGGGCCACCACCAACCUGGACAACACCACCCAGGCCACGACCUAUGACCCCCUCUCAGAGGGGCAGGAGGAGCCCGCCCAACCCUCCUCGGAGAAGGGAGGGUCCACUAGCCUCAGCCCCAUCACCCCAGACAGCCCCGCUACCCAGAUGGACCAGACCCAUGGUUUUUCCCCACCCCUGGGACUCGAGGGUCAGUCCAGCCAGUUCCUCCCCACUUCCACAGCCUCUCCUGGGGCCCAUUACCGCAGCCGCUCUGACCCCCAGAGUUCCAGCAACCAUGAGCCCAGGAUGGAGGGCAGGGUAGAUGUUCCAGUGGAGGGCCCCCAGUGCCUCUCAGGAAAGGACAUUGCCUCUUUGUUGAUAGAGAAGCUGGUGGAGGAAGAGAGGGCCGAUAGGGUGGACCCUUCCUCUAACAUGACUUCUUCCUCCUCCUCUUCCUCCCCCCAGCUGGACCACCCCGCCAACCCCUAUUCCCACCACCCCUCCCAGCCCCCUCCGGCCUACAACGUCUACACCCCCGGCCCCUCGCGUUCACGGGCCUCAGUGGGGGGGACGGGGGGGGGCUUCCACAGGCAGGACCCUCUGCGACGUUCCUCCUCGGGGGGGCAGUACCGCCAGGCCUAUGACGUCAUGCCCUCUGGGGACCAGGUACUCAAGUUCUACAGAUCCACAGACUUUACACAAGGAGACGUACCCGCCCCCAGCCCUAACCCUUACCCCCCUCGGCAGCAGUACCCUGAGCCCCCUUACCCCUCUCGCAGCUCCUACCCCUUUGCCCCCCAACCAAUCACUUCUCCCUCCGCUGCCCUGGCAGGUCUGUCUCUGGGAGGACCGCGGGCCUUCCCUCCCCAGUAUCCUUUCCAGCCUGGUCCUGUGCUGGGCCAGUACCCUAACGCCCCCCAUCGGGAUCUUACCCCCGACUCCUCCCAAAGGCCUCCGGGCCUCCGCAAUCAGAGGGGCCUAGCCCGGCAGGGAAGCUUGCCCGGACCUAACUGGACCAUUCACACUGAGGGCCAGACACGCAGCUACUGCUGAGACCAGCCCUGGGCCCUCACGUGCAGGUACUGGCCCAGACAUGCAGGUACGGGCCCAGUCAUGUAGGUACGGGCCCAGACAUGCAGGUACGGGCCCAGACAUGCAGGUACGGGCCCAGUCAUGUAGGUACGGGCCCAGACAUGCAGGUACGGGCCCAGACAUGCAGGUACGGGCCCAGACAUGCAGGUACGGGCCCAGACAUGAAGGUACAGCGUUUGGGUUUUAGUAUUACAUGCUGCACAUGCAGCAACAGCCCAGCCGCUAUUAUACUGACACAGAGCACACACUGGUCCAAAGCAGUGUAGAGGAUGAUCCACACUAGAGAGCCUAAGGUUGGGAAUUGUCUUCCUUUAGGGUUGUUUAAAUGGGUCCUGCGUUAGGCUGAGGCAGAUCAGGUUCUGGUUUCAGCCCCAACACUUCCUCAGACCGUCAUAACAGCACACUUUAAACUACUGGACCAAUGGGAGGGAGGGACAUUUGGAUGAAGGUGAAUCGAAUCAAAGAGACAAACCGACAAGUGGCUUAGAUAGAGAACAUUCCAGAGUGGCCUGGGAGGGGG